rnacentral:rRNA from 1 species
CACGGAGUUAGCCGAUGCUUUUUCUCCGGGUACUCUCCAAACCGCACACGUGCGGCACUUUGCUCCCCGGCAAAAGAGGUUUACAACCCAUAGGGCCGUCAUCCCUCACGCGACUUGGCUGGUUCAGGCUCCUGCCCAUUGACCAAUAUUCCUCACUGCUGCCUCCCGUAGGAGUCUGGUCCGUGUCUCAGUACCAGUGUGGGGGACCUUCCUCUCAGAACCCCUACGCAUCGUCGUCUUGGUGGUCCGUUACACCGCCAACUAACUAAUGCGACGCAUGCCCAUCCGCCACCGGAAUCAACCUUUGGCACCAACAGGAUGUCCCGUCGAUGCAUUAUGCCGUAUUAGACGGGAUUUCUCCCGAUUAUCCGGCCGUGGCAGGCAGGUUGCAUACGUGUUACUCACCCGUGCCGCCGGUCGCCGGCUGGGUAAGGCAAGCCUUCACCACCGCUCGCCCCUCGACUUGCAUGUGUUAAGCCUGUCGCUAGCGUUCACUCCUGAGCCGAGGACUACCG